UACAGAGGGGGCAAGCGUUGUUCGGAAUUACUGGGCGUAAAGGGCGCGUAGGCGGCCCGCUAAGUCGAACGUGAAAUCCCCGAGCUCAACUCGGGAACUGCGUCCGAUACUGGCGGGCUUGAAUCCGGGAGAGGGAUGCGGAAUUCCGAGGUGUAGCGGUGAAAUGACGUAGAUAUCUGGAGGAACACCGGUGGCGAAGGCGGCAUCCUGGACCGGCAUUGACGCUGAGGCGCGAAAGCGUGGGGAGCGAACAGG
rnacentral:rRNA from 1 species